UUGGCGUCUGUUGGGAUCCUCGCAGGUCGAUGCCGACGCAGCCUUGGCCGAGUCCACAGUAGCGCUAGAAGACGCCUAUUACCGGGUGGUGGCGGACGUCGUCGUCAAGUCGGCGAUGGAGAA
rnacentral:snRNA from 1 species